UUUAUUGGAGAGUUUGAUCCUGGCUCAGGAUGAACGCUGGCGGCGUGCCUAAUACAUGCAAGUCGAGCGAAUGGAUUAAGAGCUUGCUCUUAUGAAGUUAGCGGCGGACGGGUGAGUAACACGUGGGUAACCUGCCCAUAAGACUGGGAUAACUCCGGGAAACCGGGGCUAAUACCGGAUAACAUUUUGAACCGCAUGGUUCGAAAUUGAAAGGCGGCUUCGGCUGUCACUUAUGGAUGGAUCCGCGUCGCAUUAGCUAGUUGGUGAGGUAACGGCUCACCAAGGCAACGAUGCGUAGCCGACCUGAGAGGGUGAUCGGCCACACUGGGACUGAGACACGGCCCAGACUCCUACGGGAGGCAGCAGUAGGGAAUCUUCCGCAAUGGACGAAAGUCUGACG
rnacentral:rRNA from 1 species